GGGGAGAGGAGACGUUGCUGUCGCUGUUAGUGACCUGUGGCAUGUCUCUGUGGGACCGGGAACUUAAAGAUAGCCAGAAUGGCAGAAAAUGGUGAUAAUGAAAAGAUGGCUGCUCUGGAGGUCAAAAUCUGUCAUCAAAUCGAGUAUUAUUUUGGUGACUUCAAUUUGCCACGCGACAAAUUUUUAAAGGAACAGAUCAAACUGGAUGAAGCCUGGGUACCUUUGGAGAUAAUGAUAAAAUUUAAUAGGUUAAACUGACAACAGACUUUAAUGUAAUAGUAGAAGCAUUGAGCAAAUCAAAGGCGGAACUCAUGGAAAUAAGUGAAGAUAAAACUAAAAUUAGAAGAUCUCCAAGCAAACCCCUCCCUGAAGUGACUGAUGAGUAUAAAAAUGAUGUAAAAAACAGAUCUGUUUAUAUUAAAGGCUUCCCAGUUGAUGCAACCCUUGAUGACAUAAAAGAAUGGUUGGAAGAUAAAGGUCAGGUACUAAAUAUUCAGAUGAAAAGAACAUUGCACAAAGCAUUUAAGGGAUCAAUAUUUGCUGUAUUUGAUACCAUUGAAUCUGCUAAGUUUGUCGAGGCCCCUGGCCAGAAGUACAAAGACACAGACCUGCUAAUACUUUUCAAGGAAGAUUACUUUGCAAAAAAAAAAAUGAAGAAAGAAAGCAAAAUAAAAUAGAUGCUAAAUUAUGAGCUAAACAAGAGCAAGAAGAAAAACAAAAGUUAGCAGAAAAUGCUGAAAUGAAAUCUCUAGAAGAAAAGAUUAGCUGCUUGCUGAAAUUCUCGGGGGACUUAGAUGAUCAGACAUGUAGAGAAGAUUUGCAUAUCCUUUUCUCAAAUCAUGGUGAAAUAAAAUGGAUAGACUUUGUCAGAGGAGCCAAAGAGGGAAUAAUUCUGUUUAAAGAAAAAGCUAAGGAAACACUGGAUAAAGCAAAAGAUGCAAAUAAUGGUAACCUACAAUUAAGGAACAAAGAGGUCACCUGGAAAGUACUAGAAGGAGAUGUGGAAAAAGAAGCAUUGAAAAAAAUAAUAGAAGAUCAACAAGAAUCCCUAAACAAAUGGAAGUCAAAAGGUCGCAGAUUUAAAGGAAAAGGAAAGGGAAAUAAAGCUGCCCAGACUGGGUCUGCUAAAGGAAAAGUACAGUUUCAGGGCAAGAAAACUAAAUUUGAUAGUGAUGAUGAACAUGAUGAAAAUGGUGCAUCUAGACCAGUAAAAAGAGCAUAAGAGAAGAAACAGACAAAGAAGAACCUGCAUCAAAACAACAGAAAAUGGUGCUGGAGACCAAUAAUUUAGUAAACAUUUU